rnacentral:rRNA from 1 species
AUUUCGAACGCUGGCGGCGUGCCUAAUACAUGCAAGUAGAACGCUGAAGAGAGGAGCUUGCUCUUCUUGGAUGAGUUGCGAACGGGUGAGUAACGCGUAGGUAACCUGCCUUGUGGCGGGGGAUAACUAUUGGAAACGAUAGCUAAUACCGCAUAACAAUGGAUGACACAUGUCAUUUAUUUGAAAGGGGCAAUUGCUCCACUACAAGAUGGACCUGCGUUGUAUUAGCUAGUAGGUGAGGUAACGGCUCACCUAGGCGACGAUACAUAGCCGACCUGAGAGGGUGAUCGGCCACACUGGGACUGAGACACGGCCCAGACUCCUACGGGAGGCAGCAGUAGGGAAUCUUCGGCAAUGGGGGCAACCCUGACCGAGCAACGCCGCGUGAGUGAAGAAGGUUUUCGGAUCGUAAAGCUCUGUUGUAAGUCAAGAACGAGUGUGAGAGUGGAAAGUUCACACUGUGACGGUAGCUUACCAGAAAGGGACGGCUAACUACGUGCCAGCAGCCGCGGUAAUACGUAGGUCCCGAGCGUUGUCCGGAUUUAUUGGGCGUAAAGCGAGCGCAGGCGGUUUGAUAAGUCUGAAGUUAAAGGCUGUGGCUCAACCAUAGUUCGCUUUGGAAACUGUCAAACUUGAGUGCAGAAGGGGAGAGUGGAAUUCCAUGUGUAGCGGUGAAAUGCGUAGAUAUAUGGAGGAACACCGGUGGCGAAAGCGGCUCUCUGGUCUGUAACUGACGCUGAGGCUCGAAAGCGUGGGGAGCGAACAGGAUUAGAUACCCUGGUAGUCCACGCCGUAAACGAUGAGUGCUAGGUGUUGGAUCCUUUCCGGGAUUCAGUGCCGCAGCUAACGCAUUAAGCACUCCGCCUGGGGAGUACGACCGCAAGGUUGAAACUCAAAGGAAUUGACGGGGGCCCGCACAAGCGGUGGAGCAUGUGGUUUAAUUCGAAGCAACGCGAAGAACCUUACCAGGUCUUGACAUCCCGAUGCUAUUUCUAGAGAUAGAAAGUUACUUCGGUACAUCGGUGACAGGUGGUGCAUGGUUGUCGUCAGCUCGUGUCGUGAGAUGUUGGGUUAAGUCCCGCAACGAGCGCAACCCCUAUUGUUAGUUGCCAUCAUUCAGCUGGGCACUCUAGCGAGACUGCCGGUAAUAAACCGGAGGAAGGUGGGGAUGACGUCAAAUCAUCAUGCCCCUUAUGACCUGGGCUACACACGUGCUACAAUGGUUGGUACAACGAGUUGCGAGUCGGUGACGGCAAGCUAAUCUCUUAAAGCCAAUCUCAGUUCGGAUUGUAGGCUGCAACUCGCCUACAUGAAGUCGGAAUCGCUAGUAAUCGCGGAUCAGCACGCCGCGGUGAAUACGUUCCCGGGCCUUGUACACACCGCCCGUCACACCACGAGAGUUUGUAACACCCGAAGUCGGUGAGGUAACCUUUCGGAGCCAGCCGCCUAAGGUGG